CUCAUACUCCCUCCGUCCGGAAAUACUUGUCAUCAAAAUGGAUAAAAGAGGAUGUAUGUAGACGUAUUUUAGUUCUAGAUACAUCUCUUUUUAUCCAUUUCGAUGACAAGUAUUUUCGAACAGAGGGAGCAUGUC
rfam:Triticum aestivum genome assembly, contig: Triticum_aestivum_CS42_TGACv1_scaffold_194655_3AL